UACGGAGGAUCCGAGCGUUAUCCGGAUUUAUUGGGUUUAAAGGGAGCGUAGGUUGUUUUUUAAGUCAGCGGUGAAAGUUUGUGGCUCAACCAUAAAAUUGCCGUUGAAACUGGAAGACUUGAGUGUGUUUGAGGUAGGCGGAAUGCGUGGUGUAGCGGUGAAAUGCAUAGAUAUCACGCAGAACUCCGAUUGCGAAGGCAGCUUACUGGACUGUAACUGACGUUGAGGCUCGAAAGCGUGGGGAGCAAACAGG
rnacentral:rRNA from 1 species